AAAUGCGAUAAGUAAUGUGCAUUGCAGAAUUCAGUGAAUCAUCGAAUCUUUGAACGCACAUUGCGCCCGCCAGCAUUCUGGCGGGCAUACCUGUUCGAGCGUCAUUUCAACCCUCGAGCCCCCCCGGGGGCCUCGGUGUUGGGGGACGGCACACCAGCCGCCCCCGAAAUGCAGUGGCGACCCCGCCGCAGCCUCCCCUGCGUAGUAGCACACACCUCGCACCGGAGCGCGGAGGCGGUCACGCCGUAAAACGCCCAACUUUCUUAGAGUUGACCUCGGAUCAGGUAGGAAUACCCGCUGAACUUAAGC
rnacentral:misc_RNA from 1 species